rnacentral:rRNA from 1 species
UACGUAGGGUGCGAGCGUUAAUCGGAAUUACUGGGCGUAAAGCGUGCGCAGGCGGUUUUGUAAGUCAGAUGUGAAAUCCCCGGGCUUAACCUGGGAACUGCGUUUGAAACUACAAGGCUAGAGUGUGGCAGAGGGGGGUGGAAUUCCACGUGUAGCAGUGAAAUGCGCAGAGAUGUGGAGGAACACCGAUGGCGAAGGCAGCCCCCUGGGUCAAGAUUGACGCUCAUGCACGAAAGCGUGGGGAGCAAACAGG